rnacentral:lncRNA from 1 species
CGUGUCCGACGUUGUAACCUGGAGAAUUAUGUCCGGAGUGACCAGCGAAUCGAAAGAUUUCUGGUUUGACGCAUAAGGCUCCACAAAGCAACUGUCAGGUAAGCCUGCAAGGCCCCGUGAUUCCUCCGUCCCCGCACGAUGAGCGUCCACAGGACUCACGUCCUUGGAGUAUAUGUUGAAACCAGACCCCACGCAGCGCUUCUUUACGAACACUUUCCACUCGCGCAGCCGCUUCACUGACGUUGGCCUCAGAACGAAGCGUUCAACGCCGUCGUCUUCCUCUUCCAAGGACCGAAGGUCAAACUGGGAACCUCCACUAGCAAGUACCUUGUGGACGUGCUUCUCGUACAUUUUGCCCGCCAAAGAGUUUGCAACCGCAUGUCCCUGGCAAAAGUCAAAGAAGUCACGCGAAGCCUGAAACCCCUGCUCCUCGAACUUUUCAAAAGCCAACUUCUGGAUGUAGUCCGAGCCAAACACCAAGUGAGCGUGCAGCACCCGGUAACACGCAGGUGUGUUCAAGUCGAAUCUGUCAGUCGUAAGACGGUAGUGGAGCAGAAUAUCAGAAACAUUAGAGACCUUGUCCGAGUUCAUUGCGCAGUCAAGCACUUUCCGCCAGCAUUCCACCCUUGACGCUGCUUGGUGCACCUCCGCUUUGAGCCCGGCCAACGAGAACUUCUCCGUGUUGAAGAGAAGCCUUGGUAGCCCACCACAGUGGUAAAAGCGGAGACCAAUUUCCUCGUCUGUCAUUCCCAGCUCAAGCUCCUCGUUGCACUGCUGCACCUCCUCGAGCGACCAGGCUUCCAGGCGGCAUAUAUAGCCAUGGUCCUUGGAGAACUCGUAGUAGCCAGUGCGAUCCGGUGAGACGCAUUGGAUGAGAGGCCCCAGGUGACUUAUUCCCCUCGAGCCCCCGUCGACGAUGAGCCAGACACUCGUCAUGUCCCACCCCCGCGGUCGUGUAUACCAUUUCGAUUGCAGCACUAGAGGGUCAUCCAGCGAGAAGUCGAAGAAAAAGAAGUCUGGAUUGUCAUCUUUCGUCCUCCAAACUACUUUCUGUCCUUCCUGAGCUCUACUGUGAAAGAAGUAGUGGCCAUAGAACGUCUUGCCGAUACCUGGCGUUGAGACAAUGUGGAAGUUCUUCAACCCUUUCCUCUCAUUCACGACCCUGCUCCACUUCUCCGCAAUGAACUGAUCCAUGAAAAGGUAGUUUGGAUGGACCCAGAGCUUGGACAGGUUGUAAUGGCCCAAGAACCCAGACGGGAUGUGGAGGCAGCGGUCCUGGAGCCUGGCAUGCUUUACCUCCCGGCCGUAGGCAGCGAGAAGAGGAUCUGACACACAGAACUUGUUAGAGAUGAUUCGUCGCGCCUAAACCAUACCGAGCUCUUCGCCCAUCUCGCUGUCGCCCAAAACCUAGAAAGCAGAGCGGAAAAUUGAUAUAAAGAAUAGAAUGCCCUCCUAGGGCAAGGGAUAAAAGGUAUAUUCUUUCUUUAAGAAUAUUCUUUGUUUUGUGCUCUUUUAAUGGGGUGUUUAUCUUAAUCUAUUUUUGUAAAACUAAUAUUUUUUAAUCACGAGCUUAUUUAUAUACUGUGGCUGGUCUGAUGUCGCUUGCUCUGCCUCCCCGGAUGCAUCGCCAUGGAUCUGGCAAGAUCCCAGCAGUAGCAUCACUCGUGAUCGCGGGCUCAAUCGGCAUAUCGCGCACCAGCUCCUCGCGCGGCUGAAUAGAUCUCCGUAGUAGAGCAGCGCUGGAUCGCUGCCGUGAUAGUUCGCCAUGCCCACGAAGUAUCCUCCAAGAGCCCGGCGUGGCGGCACGCCGAGAGGAUGUUCACGAGAUGCACCGCCUGGAAGAGGUCUCUUGCGCGGAUCCAAUCCCCGUGCUGCGUAAAGGAGAUGACGAUCGAGUUCCAGGCGAUAGUGUCGCGAUGGGGGAGAUCCAAGAACACGGCAUGGUGCGAGUAGCGAAUUCGUUACCUGGAUACGAUCGUGGACGCCGCUGGCGAUCGCCCUGGCGUGGAGGAUCCGGCCAUCGGCGAGGCGCGAGCUGGAUUCCAUCGUGCCCGGUCUGGGCAGUGCUGUGAGGAUGCUGCCCCUGGAGAUCACGUUCCGGUGGAUCAUCCUGUGGAAGAUCUCCAGCGCUCGCUCGAUCCGGCCGCUCUUGGCGUGCAGGCCGCAAGACGCGCCUCGAGGUUGCGUGGGCAAUGCGAGGGAUCGCUGGCGAGCGCGUCCAUGAUCGUCAUCAUCGAGGCGGCACUGCUGAAACUCUUCCUUUUUGUUCUUAAGCAUGGAUGCAAGGCUCUUUUCUCGAUCCCAGAGAAUUGCAAGCAGCUAUUGCCGCCGGGAAAGCUCCGACUUUGAUUGCUUUCUAUGCGGAUCAUCACGUCGUCCCCGGACUCUCCGAGCAAUAAAAAGGCCAUGGUGCUCCUUCAGGAGCUCUGUCUUGUUACCUUUCACUUGAGCGAGUUUUUGGUUUUGAUUUUCGCUUAUGUGCAAAGAGGUGACUUAAACGAUCAUGAACAGCGAGAAUUAGGCUUUCCAUGCCAAUGGAGCUGGAAAAGUGGUGAGCAAAUUUCGGAGUAGCAAAUCUUCUUCUAAAAUCAUCCUUGAGAACUUGUUGCUCGCUCUCGCUGCUCGUCCUUGUAUCCUACUUUUUUAGUUAUAGGAAGAGAAAAUCGUGUUUUUCAGGGUAACGCCAUGCUGUAAUCCUCGGAUUGCGGAAAGCAGCUGCGAACAUUGCUGGCGGAACUCAUCACGCAUUUCCUGAGCACGGCGAGGAAUUUCGUAAGUUGUUUCUCUUCAUUUUUGUUCUCUUUUCUUGCCGUGUGAUGGAGAAAACAUAUGUAAUAAUGAUGGAUUCUCCAGAGGUCUCAAGGCUAGGGUUUUCUCCAGCGGUCUUUGUGUAGAGUGGCUAAGUUUGCUUGUGGAAGCGUGACUCUCGACUCAUACAUAUCCAACUUCUUCUCAGGCAAUUCAUCCCUGAAAAGGAUUUCUAUCACGAAGUUGCGGUAUCACAUCUAUCAUAAGCUUCAUGGGACACAAAAUCUCCUUACUUUUCUUUUCUUCAACCUAUCUUGGAACUUCAAGAACGUUCGGCUUGUCCUCGGUUUUGACACUACAGGGAUACACAACAGGCAUGGAGCAGCUUUCCGAGCAUUAGAGCGGGCUCUGCAAGUUUAGAACACACAUCCACAGUGAUUUGACGAACGGGUAGCUAUCAAGCCUGACGCCUUCGAGCAGCAUGGUGCAAAAGAAACGAAGAGCUUCCAGGCACUGUUGGUUCAACGAGUGCAUCGCGUUCCAGUGCUCCAUCUCGUCAAAGACGGCGCUCACGCUCCCGCGUCUCCCAUACAUGUUGACACGUCUGCAGCGGAGCUCCCGAGCUUGGUCGAGAGUGUCCGGCUGGUCGCAAGCUUCAACAAUUUGCUGCAGCGCAAUCCAGACGGACUCCGAGAGCAUCUAGAGACUAAACCACGCCCAAGGUUUAGCAAAGCAGAUAAUAAAUAUCAAACCACACCGCAAAUUAUUUCUUUGAUGCUGAAAAUCAGGACGAAGUCCAUGGAACCGUCAUCACAUACUGAUGAACCCUGUCCAUCCCGGCAACAUCUCUCUGAUGCAUCGAUCCAUCGUCUUUCUUGAAGCCCUGAUACGUGUAUCCCUGAAAGCUAGGCUCGGGAACGACAUAGAUGAGCCUGUACUGCUUGGGACGCACCAGCUUGAGCUUGUCAUGCAACGCAUCCAACCCCUGAACAAGCUCGUGGAUCUGGGACCAAUAGACCGGAUGCGUGGCUGACGUUGUAACCUGGAGAAUUAUGUCCGGAGUGACCAGCGAAUCGAAAGAUUUCUGGUUUGACGCAUAAGGCUCCACGAAGCAACUGUCAGGUAAGCCUGCAAGGCCCCGUGAUUCCUCCGUCCCCGCACGAUAAGCGUCCACAGGACUCACGUCCUUGGCGUAUACGUUGAAACCAGACCCCACGCAGCGCUUCUUUACGAACACUUUCCACUCGCGCAGCCGCUUCACUGACGUUGGCCUCAGAACGAAGCGUUCAACGCCGUCGUCUUCCUCUUCCAAGGACCGAAGAUCAAACUGGGAACCUCCACUAGCAAGUACCUUGUGGACGUGCUUCUCGUACAUUUUGCCCGCCAAGGUGUUUGUAACCGGAUAUCCUCGGCAUAAGUCGAAAAAGUCACGGAAAGCCUGAAACCCCUGCUCCUCAAACCUUUCAAAAGCAAGCUUCUGAAUGCAGUCCGAGCCAAACACCAAGUGAGCGUGCAGCACCCGGUAACACGCAGGUGUGUUCGAGUCGAACCUGUCAGUAAGACGGUAGUGGAGCAGAAUAUCAGAAACAGUGGGGUCCUUGUCCCGAGUGAGUGUGCAGUGGAGCACUUUUCU